GCCCACAUAGUGUAGCUCGGUCCAGCAUUCGGGACUGUCACUCCUGCGACGCGGGUUCAAAUCCCGCUGUGGGCG
rnacentral:tRNA from 1 species